GGGACGGUAGCAUAACGGUAAAUGCACUACAACUAGUAACACUUGUCUUACGAUCUCAGUUCGAAUCUGAGCCGUUCCA